GUGGAUGUAGCUCAGUUGGUUAGAGCGCCAGAUUGUGGCUCUGGAGGCCGUGGGUUCGACCCCCAUCAUUCACCCCA
rnacentral:tRNA from 1 species